rnacentral:lncRNA from 1 species
CGGCAACGGUGCCAAAAUUGCUUGUUGACGCUUGCUAACACAACUUGAAUACUAGGUUGUCAUCCCCAGCAUGGCACUAGAGUGUACUAUGGUAUUUAUACGCACACAGAUAAUCCGGAAGCGCACGGAUACCGUUGAAGCUUUUACCCGGUUAAUGGUUUUAUCGUAUCCACAGGGAAACGGGAGAGCUGAUCUACGCUCUAACUUAACCAAGAUAAGUAAAUAGGUGUAAAUAGGAAAGAUGGUAGAAUCGAAUAAGAACAAUAUUAAAGAUAAAAUAACAAUGGGUAAUAAUAGGGGAAUAGAGAUUUGAGCAAUCUAGUAUAUGGGGGAUGGUAGCAGAAUAGAGAGAAUAACUAUGGUUUCUCUACUUCAAAGGGGUAUGUCUAUGUCUGGGACGAACCACGUGAUAAGAGUACACCACAAAGGAUGCUUAUCCAUAGGCCGAUAAACCCUACCCGUCCUGCUAACGAGAGGUGGACUAUAGAGGACCAACGUAACUGUCACCUACACGGCCUACCACACGAUCCAGCUAGACAGGGGAUAUCCACAAGUAAUCUAGGUCUAAGCACCACAUUUACACCUAUACUACAACUCUAACCUAUAGGGUCCUGUAGAUUAGAAGUACUCAAAAGAGUUGUGAACCAGAACAUACAUGAUUAGUAAUUGCAUAAUGAAUGAGAAGUAGAUUACCAGAGUCAUCCCAUGAGCAAGCUUGAUUAGAGCUGGAUCAUGACGAAGUACAACUGGAGGAAGAACCGACAGGCCGGCCUCUCCUCUAAUCCUCCUUCGCUCUCCAUCUCGCUACUUUCU